UGUUUCAUUGUUCUGUUUCCUUCUUGUUUUGACUGUUAUUUUUUCUAUUUCUGGAAGCUCCCCAUGUCGCCAAAAUCCCGAGAUGUUUGUAUUGUUGGUGUUGCAAGGACUCCAAUGGGGGAUCUACUUGGCAACCUAUCAUCUCUAUCAGCAACACAACUAGGCUCAAUUGUUAUCAACUAGGCUCAAUUGUUGCAGCUACCAUGCUUGCAGUACAUUGUAGAAGCAAGGUUGAAGUUUCUGGUGGAAGAGGGAAACCCUCUAGAAUAGUUGAUAAAGAUGAAGGAUUGGGGAAGCUUUACAGGAGUUUGCUGAGAGGAAGGACAAUGGGAAGAUGGCUGAAGGAUUAAGAGGAGAGGAAAAAGCAGGAAAUUAGGACUCAUAAUGCUCAGUUGCAUGCUGCAGUAUCCGUGGUAGGCAUAGCUGCUGCCGUUGCGGCCAUUGCAGCUUCAAUAGAGUGUACAUUGUAGAAUCAAUAGAGUGUACAUAGCUGCCAUAAGAAAGUGUACAUAAC